CAGGAAUCUUCUAGCUUGGAUGGAGGAAAGUACAAAGGGAAUGAGUAUAGAAGUAAUCCAUUCUGCUGAGUAAGAAAUUUCCUGAAACAUGUCAAUGACCUGAUGCAUGGCCUCUACAGGAGUGUUUGACCACACACUCAGUUACCAGUGACCUAUUCUGCCACAUCCCAGGGAAAGGAGAGAGCAGAACCACUCUUCCAUAAAUCCAUGACAAAAACUCAGGAGGUUGACGUGUUGUGAGCCCUCUCGAAAGUCCUAAAAUAUGCCCCUGACCGCUGUGGUGGAGGACAACGCAAAAUCUGACGACUCUUCAAGAGGGUCACUACGCUCCAGAUCUCUUUCUGUGCUCAGAGGUACUUGAUGAGGAUCUACCCCAUCACACCACUCUAAUGAAUUAUUCAUCAAAUAAAACAAUGGGCCUUUGUAUA